rnacentral:rRNA from 1 species
GACGAACGCUGGCGGCGUGCUUAACACAUGCAAGUCGAACGGAAAGGCCUGCUUUCCCUUGUGGAUUGCGGGUACUCGAGUGGCGAACGGGUGAGUAACACGUGAGUGAUCUGCCCCCAACUUGGGUAUAAGCCUGGGAAACUGGGUCUAAUUCCCGAUAGGACUGCAGGGUGGUGCCUGUGGUGGAAAACGAUUUUCUAGUGGUUGGGGAUGAGCUCGCGGCCUAUCAGCUUGUUGGUGGGGUAAUGGCCUACCAAGGCGGCGACGGGUAGCCGGCCUGAGAGGGUGGACGGCCACAUUGGGACUGAGAUACGGCGCAGACUCCUACGGGAGGAAGCAGUGGGGAAUAUUGCACAAUGGGCGGAAGCCUGAGGCAGCGACGCCGCGUGGGGGAUGACGGCCUUCGGGUUGUAAACUCCUUUCGACCGCGAGGAAGCCACCUGGUUGGAAGGGUGGUGACGGUAGUGGUAGAAGAAGCACCGGCUAACUACGUG